rnacentral:rRNA from 1 species
GACGAACGCUGGCGGCGUGCUUAACACAUGCAAGUCGAGCGGUAAGGCCCUUCGGGGUACACGAGCGGCGAACGGGUGAGUAACACGUGAGUAAUCUGCCCAUCACUUCGGGAUAACUCCGGGAAACCGGUGCUAAUACCGAAUAUGACCACUUCAGGCAUCUGAUGGUGGUGGAAAGUUCCGGCGGUGAUGGAUGAGCUCGCGGCCUAUCAGCUUGUUGGUGGGGUAGUGGCCUACCAAGGCUUCGACGGGUAGCCGGCCUGAGAGGGUGACCGGCCACACUGGGACUGAGACACGGCCCAGACUCCUACGGGAGGCAGCAGUGGGGAAUAUUGGACAAUGGGCGAAAGCCUGAUCCAGCAACGCCGCGUGAGGGAUGACGGCCUUCGGGUUGUAAACCUCUUUCAGCAGGGACGAAGCGCAAGGGACGGUACCUGCAGAAGAAGCACCGGCCAACUACGU